GACAGAGGGGGCAAGCGUUGCUCGGAAUUACUGGGCGUAAAGGGCGCGUAGGCGGCUCGUUGCGUCGGCUGUGAAAACCCGCAGCUCAACUGUGGGCUUGCAGCCGAUACGGGCGGGCUGGGAUUCGGUAGGGGAGACUGGAAUUCCUGGUGUAGCGGUGAAAUGCGCAGAUAUCAGGAGGAACACCGGUGGCGAAGGCGGGUCUCUGGGCCGAUAUCGACGCUGAGGAGCGAAAGCGUGGGGAGCGAACAGG
rnacentral:rRNA from 1 species